rnacentral:tRNA from 1 species
GGGCAAUUAGCUCAGUUGGCUAGAGCGUUUCCUUGACGUGGAAGAGGUCACAGGUUCGAGUCCUGUAUUGCCCACCA